rnacentral:lncRNA from 1 species
UCAGAACACUUGAAUUUGCCUUCAAAUCUGAAUUUGGUGAUUUUGAACAAUAUUCUCCCCUAACAUUGUAUCACUAAACAACCUAUAAUAUGUCCUCGUGAGUUUAGCUCGGUUAGUAAAAACAAUGCAUAAUAUAUGCAAGGUCCGAUAUUUGAAACCCGAUUACCAUAAAAAAAAAAUUAAAAAAAAAACUACAAUAUACAUAUGCAGAUAAUCCUCUUUCUAUUGUUAUGUGUUAGAUGAAUCAAAAGAGUCGAAUCUAAACACCUCGUGAUAAAACUUUUUAGAACACUCUUUAAUAGAGACACUCAAAUUCUAUGAGAGAGAGUCAAAUUCUCAACUUUUUUCCAACUAUUUGAGUACAUGUUUCUUCUUGUUAUGCCAUUCCCUGAAGAAAGAAAAAAUACACUCAAUAAUAUAAACUCAAAAUAAUAUCCCUCAUGUUGAGUUUUAAGCUUGUUACAAAAUUAAUUUGAUGAUAAACAAAACCAACUGACGUCAUAACUAAUGGAGAGGAGCAACCAAAGAAGUGGCAACAACCAAAGAAUCCACAACAACCGAAACGAGGAAAUAAUAUCAAACUAAAUCAUAGUCGAACACAAGAGUCAAUAAAAGGAGAAGAAACCAAAAAAAUUAAAUUCGACUUCAAUAAGAACUCUUCACAAAUAAAGUAAGAACUAUUUAUGAGGGUGGCAUUUAGAAUGCACAAAUAUAAGAUUUGUGCACCAUGCACAAGUUCAUUCUUUGUGGACAGCUGUCAGUCUAAAACCUGCUGUGAUAAAUGUAAUAAAAAAAUGAAACAUUAGUUUAAUAUCAAAUAUUGGUUUUAUUGCUUUUGUUGGAUGCACCUCCAUAGUUGAAUGAAACAAUACUGCUAAUAAUAAUCUAAACAUAGGAAGAAAAAAAAAACCAUAAUUCAAUUAGCACCGGAAUUCCAAUUAAAUUAAAUUAAUUUGCUAUCAUUUCAGAUUUGUAAUUUCUGUUUAAUUUUAAUUUAUAUUAGUAAAAGUUGUUUCUUCCAUCUUUGACGGUGAUACUGAGAAAAGAUUAAAAGAGAUGGUUUGUGUGACUCGGGCGAGUUGACUCAGAGCACAGAAACGAUAGAAAAAAACAACUCUUCGGCAGAUUCAUUCUUUCUUGUUUCACGUUUCUUUCAACCUGAACAACUAGGGUGACAUAGGUUGUUGGAUAAUGGCGGCCGAAAGUCGUGGUCAUCAAAUUCAUAUUUGCUUUCAUCUUGCCUUUCAAUUCUGAUCAAAACUAUGCAAUAAUCUCUAUAUUUCAUUGUGUAUUAUGUGAGAUCUUAUCGAUUCGUAUCACGGGUCGGGAAACCCGUUUCAGAUCCGUCGGAUGAAGAAGAUGAUAAUUCAUAAAUAAAGAAACAAUGUAAAUUAAAAGCCCAAAAAAACUUGCGCGUGUAGGUCCCAGAAUUCCAAAAUAAUUAAUUUUUUCAAUGCCCAAUAAAUAUCAAAUAUUAUUAUGAUCAUAUUGGUAUUUUUUUGGUUACAUGGGCAUAAGUUGGACGCUGAAUAACACCACUACACCAUGCAUUUUUAAUAUUUGCAAUUUUUUCUUUUUUUAGGGAAUAUAUUUGCGAUUUAUUAUUCUUUCUUUUUUGGUGAUUUUAUAUAUUAUUAUUCUACUUGGGGAUAAACUAUAUUUUAAAAUAGAGUCAUGAUAUCCCGAAACACCGGUUAAGAAGUCAAAUAUAGUAAUAUUUGCAUUAAAUGCUUAAAUAAUGACUCAAAAAGAGCAAUAUUUGCAUUUAAAGUUGUGUAAUCAAUGUAUUAAAUGCUUCCUCUUUUGAAUUCCUUAACCAGUAUCUUGGGAUGCUAGUUAACAUUACCCUUUAAAAUAUCAUAUUCUCGUUUUUUUUUUGUGGAAAAUUAUAAUCCCCUUGUUUUAAAAUACAUUUCGCAUAUUUUUAAUAUGCAUUGUUUGCAUGACUUACUUUGACGAUAAUUUGAAAAGGAACAUCAAAUAAAGUGCAACCCUAAUUGAAGGGAAAUAAUUGUGAAAUUUAGAAAAAUGAUGAAUUUGAAAAGGAAUAUCAAAUAAAAUCCAACCCUAGUAGAAUUAACAAAAUUGUGGAAAUUAGAAAAAUGAUGAAUUUAUAAAGAAAGAUGAAAUAAAGUCCAACACUAGUAGAAGGAACAAAAUUGUGGAAAUUUGAAAAAUGAUGAAUUUAAAAAGGAAGAUCAAAUAAAGUCUAACCCUAGUAGAAUUAACAAAAUUGUGGAAAUUAGAAAAAUGAUGAAUUUGAAAAGGAAGGGAAAAUAAAGUCCAACUCGAGUAGAAGGAACAAAAUUGUGGAAAUUUAAAAAAUGAUGAAUUUGAAAAGGAAGAUCAAAUAAAGUCUAACCCUAGUAGAAUUAACAAAAUUGUGGAAAUUAGAAAAAUGAUGAAUUUGAAAAGGAAGAGAAAAUAAAGUCCAACCCUAGUAGAAGGAACAAAAUUGUGGAAAUUUGAAAAAUGAUGAAUUUGAAAAGGAGGAUCAAAUAAAGUUCAACCCUAAUAGAAUUAACAAAAUUGUGGAAAUUAGAAAAAUGAUGAAUUUGAAAAGGAAGAGCAAAUAAACUCCAACCCUAGUAGAAGGAAUAAAAUUGUAGAAUUUAGAAAAAUGAUGAAUUUGAAAAGGAAGAUCAAAUAAAGUCCAGCCCAAGUAGAAAGAAUGAAAUUGUGAAAAAUAGAAAAAUGAUGAAUUUGAAAAUGAGGAUCAAAUAAAGUCCAACCCUAAUAAAAUGAAUAAAAUUGUGAAAAAUAGAAAAUGAUGAAUUUGAAAAUGAAGAUCUAAUAAAGUCUAUGGCAAGCAUUUUCACACCAUUGAGAGGUGGUUUUGGGUCAAUUAUUGACCUGAAAUCACUCAUCUUCAUCUUUUUCUCUCUAUUUCAAUCUAAAUAAGUGAUUUUCACAUAGAUCUAGGUUUUUUUCUUUGUGAUUUCAUCAUCUAAGUGUGGUGGUUUGUUGUUCGUCGUCUUGUGCGGCGUUGUUUGAUUUCCCGUCUUCGUACGGUGUUCAUUUGAUUCAUAUUGAAAGAUCGAUUAUUCAAUCAAAGAUUUGGGCGUCAACAUUGCAGAUCCGGAGGCCAUGAAUAUUCCGGUCACUUUAAUUUUAUCAUAAAUUUUUGUAGGCAUUAUGCCGUUAUAUGUUAUUAACUUUGAUGUUGUGAGUUUGUGCAGAUUCAUCCUUUACGUUUUUAGCGGUGUUGAAUGAUGUAAUCUCUCAAUUGAAUGAAUGAAUAUCAUUUUAUUUUUGAAAAAAAAAAAAAAAAACAUUUUCUUCAAAACAGAUUUUAAUGGUAAUUUAUCGUGCAUUAAUCACAUCAUAUACAUUUUGUAUAAAAAAAUCGAUCGUUUUUUUUAUGAUACAAAAUGUUUGCUUAUCACUCAACUAAAAAAUAAAUUCGUUUAAUUACAUUGAUCAUUUCAUUAAUUCUUCAGAUUUUUAACUAACAAAAUUUAUAUUCUUUGAGAUUUCAAUUAAAAUGAUUUAAACAAAAUUGGGCUCAAUACUACUACAUUAUGGGCUAACAAUACAAAUGAAAGUCCAAUACUUCCCUUAAAACCAGAAAAAUUAAAUAUUGCUAUCUAUUAAAAUGGUGGGGUCACUUUUAUUGGAGAUAAAGACAAAACACAAAGUCACAUGUAGGUAACAAGUCACAAGAUCUGGACCGUUUGUAUUUAAUAAUAAUAUAUCAACGGUGGACAUUCGUUUUCAGCAGCUUUUUGCAUAUCUUAUGUAUCAUGCACAAUUUUAUGCCUUGUGCAGGUUAAACGCCACCAUUUAUGAGCACUAUCUUAGCUCACUAAAUUAUUUAAAAGAAACAUCAUAGCAUGGUGCUUCACGUACACAUUAUAAGCAUUAUCUUGAUUCACCAAACAAAACAAAAAAAAACAUAAUGUGAUGCUUCAUAAACAAAUUAUGAGUAGUAUCUAGAUUCAUCAAAUAACCCAGAAAAAAAACACCUUAACAAAGUGUUUCACAAAGACACAAACGGUUGAAAUAGCUCUACCAAAACCAAUUUAAACCAAAGGAAAUCAAACAAUCAAUAUCAAACUAAACCAAUCAAAACUGAAUGAAAUCAAACUUGAAAAACCAAUGUAAACCAAAACUUACAAACGAACAUCUAAAAUUCUAAAUAAUCAACCUUGAUCAAACUACCACCGACAAACAAAACAUCAUUGCACUAGACCAAACAGUUGGGUCAGAAAUCAAGAACUGGACCCAAAAGUUAAACCAGGUCGCAAAAUAAUGGAUGGACAAAGAGAAUCUUUCCAAACCAUAAACAAGAAUUGCAGCUUCUGAAAUUCCUCUUUUUUUUUUUCCAAUUGUUUUGCAAACCAACUUAGCAAACAUGAGUAAAGAAACGAUUCAAACGAAUUAUCACAAACUUCAAGUCGACCAAUGAGAAAUAAGCAAAUAAAGAAUUAAAGAAGUCAUUCAACAUUUCUUUGCUCAAAUAAUACUUAAUGAUGAUAAUUCGGUAAAAUUAUUAUCUCUCCAUUCUAAAUUAUACUCCCUUCGUCCCUUAAUAAGUGACUUAUUUGACCAUUUCACACAAAUUAAGAAAAGUGUAAAGAUAAAAGAAAGAGAGUGAUAUUUUUUACUGAGUUGCCCUUGUCAUUAUUUUGAAACUUUUUCACUUUUAAGUAAUGAUUACUUUCUUUGUUCCACUACAAACUUUAACAUGGGGACCACAAAAAGUAUUUAUAAGGGAUAAAUCUGUCAAAUUUUGCUUAGAAAUCUGAGAAGGUCAAGUAUUGUGGGACAAAUAUUUUUUACAAAUAGGUCAUUUAUUAAGGGACGGAGGGAGUACUUCAUGAAGUAUAAAUCGUUUUGAAAAAGACAUUUUACGAUACAAAUAAAGCAAUAAUGAUGAUAUUUUUCUUAUUAUAUAUUUAAUUAUUUCUUAAUUUUUCUUUUUAAAUUCUUUAAUUUAUCUUUCUUAGUCAUAUGAAACGAUUAAAACCACCAAUCUCUACUUUUAUUGAGAGAAGACUAAUUUUAAAUUUGUCAGCAACACUGGAAAAAAAAGAAGAGUACAAGUGCUAGUAAUUUUAAACUUCGAAAAUUUUUACACCACAAUUUCCAAGAGUGGUCAACAUGUCAGCUCGUCAGUUGACUCACCAAAUUUUAGAUAGCCCCACCCCAAUGCCAUGUAUUCCCAAACAGGCCCCCACCUUCUCCAAUAAUGGAAGAGUUUUCGUAAUUUUUUUUAAAAGAAAAAAAUUCUAAAUGGUUUUAAUAGAAAAGUGUAUCCAAAUUGAUACGUUAGACCUCUAUCAACAAAAUAAAAAAAAAAUAUAUAUAUAUAUAACAAGUAAAAAUUUCAAACGGUCCGUUUUGAAACAGAUUGUAUAACCCUUGCUGAUGCCAUUCACACUACCUCCACUCACCUCAAUGAAGUUUGAGACAUUAUUUCUCAAUGCAGAGGUCUCUUGUUUACAAAUACCGACUUUAAAGUGUCGUAUAUUAGGAGGCAAGUUAAUAGGGUUGCUCAUAGUAUAGCUAGAGCUUCUUUAUCUCAUCCUAGCCCCCAUCUUUUUUAUAGUGUACCUUCAAAUUUGUACUCUUUGUUCUUGAAUGAAAUGCAUUAAUUUUGCCUUUGCUAAAAAAAAAAAAAAAACAAGUAAAAAAAACAUGUGAAAACACUUUUUUUAGAUGGUACUUAGCAUUUUGAGAAUUUCAAUCUUUUUAUAUUCUUUUAAUAAAAUUAGUUUGAAUAAUAAUAGUCAUUAGUUUAAAUACUUUUUUAUAAUAUUAAUAAUAUUCACAGAGUCUUUAUGGACUUCCCCUAACUUAAAUUAUAUUGAAUAAAAUGAAAAUUACAUACAAUGUAUGAGUUCUGCUUUCUUGACUUGAAAUUCAUUUAACUUUUUUAAAAUUUAAAAAAAUCGGUCAAAAUAAAAUCCUAGAAUUCAAGGUUUUACUUCUUUAAAUAAAUUCAUUUAAUUCAACAAAAAUUAGUCUUUAUCAAUAGAAGAUAUUCAUUUCAUAUGUUAAGUUUAGUUUAAUUGAAUUUCAAAGGUUUAACAUAGUGAGAACAUAUCUUCAUUCAAAAAAUUUAAAAAAAAAAUUCGAACAUGCCUCCAUGCCGAACGAACAUUAACAAAUGUGCUUAAGUAACAUCCACAAAAGAAUAUUUAGGGGGUGUAUUGAAUUGAGAUUUUAAAAAGAUUAUUUUGGCAAACAAAAUUCUACAGAUUUUAAAAGACUUUGUGAAAUUAUAUUGAUUUUAUAGGAUUUUAAAAGACUUUUUUUAAAUGACUUUUUACAAUCAGGAUUUUAAACACAAGAUUUUAAUGGAUUUAUAACACAUAUUUGCAAAAAUUUCAAUAGAGUUUAUGGAAUUUUUAAGAUUUGAGAGGAUCAUAUUCCCUCAAAAAAAAAAAGAUUUGAGAGGAUCACAUGGAAUCAUGGAUUCUUAAGAAAAAAUCAAAAUGACAAGAGUGAAUGAAAAAAAUUAUGAACUUAUAAUAUAGAAUUGACCAAUAAUAAUUAUAAUAAUAACUCGUUACUAAUAAAUAAUAACAAAACUUUGCACAGAGUGUAAGGUGUACUGACAACAACAAAACAAUCUCCUAAAAAAACAAAAACGAUAAAUUAGAAGAAAAAAUUGACUUAAAAGAAACAUACUCCCUCCGAUCACAGUAUUAUAAGCAAAAAUUAACUUUUUAGAUUCAUUCAUUAAAUGUUGUAUUUGGUCAAUAAUAUAAACUAAAUACAUCAUUUAAUAAAUGAAUCUAAAAAGUUGAUUUUUGCUUAUAAUAGUAAUCGGAGGGAGUCUAACUUAAAAAUCUGUAAUAUUUACGGAUGUAUAACUAAAAAGCAUGUAACGUGUAUAAGAAAAACAUUCGACAAUGAGAAGCAACAAGGAAAAGUUUCAAAUGUAUGGUGUACUGAACAAGGAAUAAUACAGUGAGGGUUUAUCAAUAAUAACAACAAGAAAAGGGGAUGAGUGUGGUAUGAGAUAAGAACAAAAUAAGAAUUAUGGAAGUCUCAAAAAGUCUCAAGAAUAUUUGUGAGAUUGUUGAAUGAGUACGUUAUGUGUAUUUUUAAUUAAAAAGUUUCACAAAAUUCACUCCUUAAAAGAAUUCAUUAAAAUCUGUAUAGACAUUUUACAAGUUAGUCGAAGUCUCAUUUGAAUACCACCAAAUUUCGUUCCCUGCAAUAAAGCUUUGAUUGUUUUGAUUGAACACCAUAAGAUUUAUUUAUAUUUUAUAAAAGUUUUAAUUGAAUAUCUCAAGACCUUUUUAUUUUUAAAAAUUCUUUUAUAAUCCCAUGAAAUCUCAAUUGAAUACACCAACGAAAGUUGCCCUCACAACCGUUCACAUAAGUUAUCUUCUUAUCAAUUGAGUCAACCUUCAUUAAAGAAAAAUAAAAUAUUUUAAAAUAGUACAAACAAAAUUCAUUGCAUCAAAGAGUAAAAAAUAAAAUCGUUAAAUAAAUUAAUUUUUUUCAUUAAAUUAAAUUGACAUUUAUACUAUAUAUACAAAGAAAAAUAUCCUUUCAGCACUUUUGGGUUGACUUUUUCUUUUCAAACAUACCCUCAAUUUUCAAUACAAAUAACACAUGUAACUUUUAAAUAUUAAAACAAAUAACAAACACGAUAUGAAAAAAUAUAUUUUUUUGUUUUUUUUCCUUUUUUUUUUUUGGUGAUGUCCGGUCCUCCGGGGUUCAAACCUCAGACCUUGCAUAUAUUAUGCAUUGUCCUUACCAACUGAGUUAAGCUCACAAAGGACUUGUCUUCCUUUAUCAUUUAAAAAGUGUAACAAACUAGAUGACUAUAUUUAUACUUACUUUUUCAUCAUUCCAAUUAUACCCUCAGUUACGAUGGGUGAAAUUGCUCGGAGGGGCUUUUAGACGAGAUAAAGGUUUUAUUGAGGGGUUAGCCAUGAAGAGAGCUUACAGGGCUGCUAAUUAAUACAUCUUCUUCCUCAGUUACGGAAUCCUCAGAGUUAGCUUCUUCUACUUCGAUCGUGCAUGGGUAUUGCCAAUCUUUUCUUUGGCUUAAGGACGUGCCAACCGAUUCACAUGGAGGAGGUGGCUAUGGUGUUUGAUAAAAAGUUGCGUGAAGCGGUUGAGGACAUUGUGGUUGGUGGAGGUCCUUUCUUUGGGGACCUUCAAUGGAUGUUGGCAUCUUUACCUAUUAGGUUUGGAGGGUUGAGUUUGUACUAAACAUUAUAGGCUUCCUCGUACACUUUUGUGGCUUCUAAGGCACAGUCUUGGGUCAUACAAGAUCAAAUUUUGAGAGACAGUGGGUUAUGUGGCAUGGACUUGGAUUUUGAUAAUGCUUUGGAUGGUCUUCGUGGUACGAUUCUAGAUUUUGAUGUUAGCAGUUUUACUAGCAAUGACACCAUCCCUCCUAAAGCACAACAUGUUUUUGCGAGUGCUCUUUUUAGUAAAAAUGUCAGGAUAUGGAAAUUAAGUUUGACAUGACCACGAGACAGAAGGCAAUUUUUGGAUGUUUGCAAGCAGAACAUGCUCAAGAUUUUCUUCUAGCUAUCCCGAUUGAUUGGUUAGGUCAACAUAUGUCACCAGUGGAGUAUCAUACUAUCCUUAGAUAUCGCCUUAUGAUUCCAUUAUUUCCUAAUGAUGUGGUGUGCCCUGUUUGCCGUAAUGUGUGACUGAAUACUUUUAGGGAGCAUGUCGUUCAUUGUAAUGAGUUUCCCGGAUUUAAGUACAUACAUGACUUUGUUAGGGAUGUACCUUUUGAUAUAUUUAGACGUGCGAGAAUAUCAGUGAAGAAGGAGGCGUCUGUGAACUUCCUGACUAACCCACUAGAUAGAAGAUCAACACUCAGGCCUGCAGAUGUUAUGGUGUACAGAUGGGUAGGUGGAAAACAUGCUUGUGUAGACUUGACUGGGGUUUCACUACUUGUGGGAUUAGGUGUCGGACCUUUUACCGUAGGAUAGGCAGCUCUAAAAUCCGCGUCAAACAAAGUGGCCAAACAUGAGAAAGUGUGUUCUGACAAUCAACAGGUUUUUAUACCAUUUGCUUUUGACACUUUCGGUUUCCUAGCACCAGAGGCGGUUGACCUUCUACAUAGAGUUCAAAAGGUCAUGCAUAGCAAUGUCAUGUCCUCUAAGUCCAUGAAUGUUGUGCUCAUGAGGAUUGAUUUUUCCAUCCAAAAAGGUCUAGCGGCGGAGCUUGUUGUCCGCUUGUCUUCUAUUUAAGUGUAAAUAAUGGUUUAUAUAUAUAAUAAACAAAAUUUUCCAACUGAUUAUACCUCUUAAACAACUUUUUCUAUAAUAAAAUUGUUGUUGGUGUCAUUAAAAAAGAAUUUAGAUUAUAUUAUUUUUGUUAUAUUGUAUUAUUGUCGGUGUCGUUGAAAUAGAUAACGAUGGUUAGUUUGAUUUUUUAUAAUUUGAAAGUAACUAACAUUUAUAUUCUUUUUAGUUUUAAUCAAAAUCAAAAUUUCAUAAAAAAAAAAAAAUUCGUUCAUAAUUUUCAAUAGUUGGCACAGAACGGAAAAAUCCGAGUGCCCGUUUUUUCACUGGUCAACGUUAAACAAAAAAAAAAAUUGUGCUAACGAGGAGGCCCACUAACCUGAAAUGAACGCUAGUAAUCCACUAACCGGGCCUUCUUCUAUAUAAUGUGGGGUCAUCAAAAUCAAUCCAACCCAUUUCUCUUUCUCUUACAGAACGACAACGCUCUUCGAUUCGAUUCUCAUCACUUUC